UGGGCGCAAGCCUGAUGCAGCGACGCCGCGUGCGGGAUGACGGCCUUCGGGUUGUAAACCGCUUUUGACUGGGAGCAAGCCCUUCGGGGUGAGUGUACCUUUCGAAUAAGCACCGGCUAACUACGUGCCAGCAGCCGCGGUAAUACGUAGGGUGCAAGCGUUAUCCGGAAUUAUUGGGCGUAAAGGGCUCGUAGGCGGUUCGUCGCGUCCGGUGUGAAAGUCCAUCGCUUAACGGUGGAUCCGCGCCGGGUACGGGCGGGCUUGAGUGCGGUAGGGGAGACUGGAAUUCCCGGUGUAACGGUGGAAUGUGUAGAUAUCGGGAAGAACACCAAUGGCGAAGGCAGGUCUCUGGGCCGUCACUGACGCUGAGGAGCGAAAGCGUGGGGAGCGAACAGGAUUAGAUACCCUGGUAGUCCACGCCGUAAACGGUGGAUGCUGGAUGUGGGGACCAUUCCACGGUCUCCGUGUCGGAGCCAACGCGUUAAGCAUCCCGCCUGGGGAGUACGGCCGCAAGGCUAAAACUCAAAGAAAUUGACGGGGGCCCGCACAAGCGGCGGAGCAUGCGGAUUAAUUCGAUGCAACGCGAAGAACCUUACCUGGGCUUGACAUGUUCCCGACAGCCCCAGAGAUGGGGCCUCCCUUCGGGGCGGGUUCACAGGUGGUGCAUGGUCGUCGUCAGCUCGUGUCGUGAGA
rnacentral:rRNA from 1 species